rnacentral:lncRNA from 1 species
AGAGAUGAUGACUGGUCACCAGUCAAGGUUGAGCAGUGCAGGAAGAGGAGGAAGAAGCAGCCUGAAGGACAAGGAGAACUGUGUCUGGAGAUCCACAUGAUAUAAUAAUAAACUAAGGAAAUCAGCUUGUAAUUGUACCAGUUCUAUGGCUGCAUGGGUUAUGUGACUAUCAGUGAAGAGACAACUGAAGAGUUUUUCUGUUCCAGAACCACAGAUCU